UGCUGUGUAGCACAGUGGUAAGGAGCAGGGCUCAUAACCAAAAGGUUGCUGGUUUGAUUCCGCUCUGGGUCA